CAUUCACACAACACAGUUUGCUUGAAACUCUGACAUUAUGUUUAGGGCUGGGCUACAUCUAAACUUCAUGCAAAAUCUAAUUAAAUCCAACCACACUGACCCCGCUUCUCCGCCUCACCACAGACAUUCUAUAAAUUUAGGGUGAAAGACAUAGGGGUUAGAUCUAGGUCCAGGUCCAGGACCAGGACUGAUCAAAAGUUCACUAUUGUGUAUUAUGGGAGGAAUAAUAGUGAAAAUACACAAAGCUCUCUGGUUAGUCUCAAUACUAUCACUGAGUAACAUUAAUGGAAAUGAUUUCUUAGAAGUGCUGUGCGUGUGUGCGUGUGUGUGUGUGUGUGUGUGUGUGUGUCUGUACUGCGCUAUGAGCAAAAUCAACAAGUCCAGAGAUCUGUGCUCCAGACUCCAAAAUGAACAGUGAUUUUCUCCUCGGUUCAACAGAUGCCUGUAUGAAAUCGAUUCAUGAAGAAAAGAAAGGAAGACUAUUUAUUUCGGCAUUCGAUAUUUGCAUUGUUUAAUGGCUUCAUGUUAUGUGUAUAAGAAAUGUGUUAAAUUAUAGCACAAAAGUCCCCAUUUGAUGGUAACAGCUUUGGUGUUUUGACAGUUGGAAACAGAAUCCCAUCACACCUCCUAGGCAGUACUGUGUAUAUAUGUGUGUCUGUGUGUGUGUGUGUGUGUGUGUGUGUGUGUGUGUGUGUGUGUGUGUGUGUGUGUGUGUGUAAUGGUCAGUAAAAGACAGCAUCAUAAAUCUGCCACUAAAGGCAUUAAAGUCAGCUUCCCCCAAGUGGAUAAACACACACACAGCCACGGUGUAUAUAUACACAUUCAAACACAUUAAAAGUGCAUCAUGAGGCAGUGAGGAACAAAAUAUUUUAUUUAAUGGUGAAUGCAGAAAACUACAAAUAAAACAUACAUGUAAGCACCUGGCUGCAGAUAUAUUAGGUUCAUAGAUGCGUUUAAAAAACUUUCAAAUCAAUGUAAAAGGAGGGAUAGUUUCCUAGAUACCCUAUAUAUACCCUAUGUACAUGCAUGCUGCAAUUCAGCUUUUGUUUUGGCUGGUUUGUAUUAUUGCAUCGAAGAAAGAGUCUCUGUGAAACCUCUCUUUCACAUUCGUUUCAGAAAGCACACUGUACGGAUGAUACUGUACAAAUGUUUAUUAGAACUCAAACUAUGCACCCAAAACCUGCAUGCUGCAAAAAAGCAGACACAUUUCCUGAUUUUGCCAAGUGACACUAUUUGUGUCAACCGUUAUCAUCUAGGCUAAAGAAUUUGGACAUCAACCACUCCGGUGCAUUGUGGGAUUUGGGGAGCAUGUUGCAGGUCAUAUCCUAAUGCAACGUUCACCCAAUCACCCAAUUUUAUUGAGAGCUGUGACGUCUAACAACAUAGUGUGUGUGUGUCCAGAGACAAGACAAAGUUAAGAAACAUAUAACUUUACGCAAAUGUGGUGUAACUUGACCAGGUGACUACUAAUAAGAGUGAAGGCAGUUGACACUGCAGAUUGUUUCAUUUUAGCAGGAAGAAAACUAGUCAUGUGGAAUAUUAUUACCAUGGCAACCAGUAACAGAAAUUCGUACUGGUGAGGUCAUAUUACGUGUGGCGACUUGCAGCAAAAAAACAGUGUAUGUGUGAACGUAGCUUAAGUCCUCAAACAUCUCUGGAGGACUUUUUCAUAGGACUCUGAUCAUCUUCAUCCUAUGAUGAAACAUUUUUAUCCUGAUGUGUAGAAAGAAUGAUCCCAUUUCCAACCACAGAGCACGAGGGCUCAUUAAAUGAUUUGAAGAGGAUGAAAAUGAAAAUGAAAUCACAUACUGUGGCCUUCACUCCAACUCACCAAAUAUCAACUCCACUCAUCAUUAACUAUGGGAAUAUCUUUUAAAGGACUGAGACUGAGAUGCACUGACGAACGGGGUGAGCGUACAUCUAGCGCACAUUCGAAUGAAAAUCACAAAGAAAAUCACAAUACGAGAAUACAAAAAUAAUAAUAAUCAUAUACAGAGAGAUUAACAUAAGCCAACUAUGAAUCCUAUAGUUCAACAGCAGAUUUCAGCAAACUGAAAGAGACUAAUGAAUCCACAGUGACUGAAUACUGAAUCAAUCACUUGAGUGACUCAUGUAAAUGUGAAUGAAUCCUCUAGUACAGUUACACAGAAAUGCAGACUCUUGGUUAAGACGGACCGAAGCUGCUCUGGUGGCUCACAGGGGACCAACACCAGACACUUCAUGUUGGUUUUUCCUUUAAUUUGUUAGCCAUCUGUGGGUCAGUGGGUGUGUGGGUGUAUGUGUUGGGGUAUGUACUGUACAUUGUAUAUAUGUAUGUGUGCAGUUCAUGGUGUAUAACCAUUUUGUACAACAUUUAAGUUACAAUCCAGUGGGGUUUUUUUUAUUGUAUUUUAACUCUAUUUAUACUUUUAGAAAAUGAAUCCAAAUGUAGAUAUUUUCUACAAAGGAAGAAAAGAAAAGAAAAAAAAGAAAUGAAAAGAAAAGAAAAGAAAAAAGGUUACACGGAAAAACAGAAAAGAACAAAAAAUCAAGAAAACAGAUAUCUUUUUACCGAGCCUUCUGCUCAGUCUGUGGAGAAAGAACAAGGCAGUGUCUCCGCCUGUCAGUGGAUUGGGACGAGGCCUGUCCGUACCCGUCUCAGCCCCAACCCCAACCCCUGCUGCACACCUGGGCCUCCGUUUCCCUUUGAGGAAGAGAUACACACAGUGGGAGGUCUGAGUGAAAAGGGAGUUCCCCCAUUCAGCCCUGACUGACACAAAGGCCCCUCCUGGUGGGAGUGGUAUCGUCCCCCUCCUCGUGUCACACUUCAAAGAGGAGACUGAGCUCCCCCUGCAUUCAUCUGAGGCUAACAGCUUAACCACCCAGUUCAAACAGUGUACCCACGCCCUGAGAAGAGAAGAACGCCAGAGCGUGCACACACACACAGGCAUAUACACACAUACAAAGAUGCACACACACAAACCCAAACAAAUACACAC